rnacentral:lncRNA from 1 species
GACCCUGCUGGUUGUCAAUACAUGGGUUACCCGUCGAUCCCGGGACGCGAAGGAAAGUAUUUCCUGCGCACCAGCGAGACCUCGCCGUUCGCCCUCGGGGAUGACCAGUGAUCGACACUCUGCGACCUCCGCUCGUUCCCGGUCGUGGUGUGAUACUCCAAUAAAAGCAUCUUUAUUA